rnacentral:rRNA from 1 species
UACGUAGGGUCCGAGCGUUGUCCGGAAUUACUGGGCGUAAAGAGCUCGUAGGUGGUUUGUCGCGUUGUUCGUGAAAACUCACAGCUCAACUGUGGGCGUGCGGGCGAUACGGGCAGACUUGAGUACUGCAGGGGAGACUGGAAUUCCUGGUGUAGCGGUGAAAUGCGCAGAUAUCAGGAGGAACACCGGUGGCGAAGGCGGGUCUCUGGGCCGAUAUUGACGCUGAGGAGCGAAAGCGUGGGGAGCGAACAGG